rnacentral:rRNA from 1 species
UACGGAGGGUGCAAGCGUUAUCCGGAUUUACUGGGUUUAAAGGGUGCGUAGGUGGGUCUGUAAGUCAGUGGUGAAAUCUCCGAGCUUAACUCGGAAACUGCCAUUGAUACUAUAGGUCUUGAAUCAUCUGGAGGUAAGCGGAAUAUGUCAUGUAGCGGUGAAAUGCUUAGAUAUGACAUAGAACACCAAUUGCGAAGGCAGCUUACUACGGAUGUAUUGACACUGAGGCACGAAAGCGUGGGGAUCAAACAGG